rnacentral:rRNA from 1 species
AGAUUGAACGCUGGCGGCAGGCCUAACACAUGCAAGUCGAGCGGCAGCGCGGGUACUUGUACCUGGUGGCGAGCGGCGGACGGGUGAGUAAUGCCUAGGAAUCUGCCUGAUAGUGGGGGAUAACGCUCGGAAACGGACGCUAAUACCGCAUACGUCCUACGGGAGAAAGCAGGGGACCUUCGGGCCUUGCGCUAUCAGAUGAGCCUAGGUCGGAUUAGCUAGGUUGGUGGGGUAAUGGCUCACCAAGGCGACGAUCCGUAACUGGUCUGAGAGGAUGAUCAGUCACACUGGAACUGAGACACGGUCCAGACCUCCGUACGGGAGCAG